rnacentral:tRNA from 1 species
GAGGGUAUAGCUCAGUGGUAGAGCGCAUGCUUAGCAUGCACAAGGUCCUGGGUUCAAUCCCCACUACCUCCU